rnacentral:rRNA from 1 species
UACGUAGGGCGCAAGCGUUGUCCGGAAUUAUUGGGCGUAAAGAGCUCGUAGGCGGUUUGUCGCGUCUGCUGUGAAAACCUGAGGCUCAACCUCGGGCUUGCAGUGGGUACGGGCAGACUAGAGUGCGGUAGGGUGACUGGAAUUCCUGGUGAUAGCGGUGGAAUGUGCAGAUAUCAGGAGGAACACCGAUGGCGAAGGCAGGUCACUGGG